rnacentral:rRNA from 1 species
AUUGAACGCUGGCGGCAGGCUUAACACAUGCAAGUCGAGCGGAGUGAUGGUGCUUGCACUAUCACUUAGCGGCGGACGGGUGAGUAAUGCUUAGGAAUCUGCCUAUUAGUGGGGGACAACAUCUCGAAAGGGAUGCUAAUACCGCAUACGUCAUACGGGAGAAAGCAGGGGAUCACUUGUGACCUUGCGCUAAUAGAUCAGCCUAGUUCGGAUUAGCUAGUUGGUGGGGUAAAGGCCUACCAAGGCGACGAUCUGUAGCGGGUCUGAGAGGAUGAUCCGCCACACUGGGACUGAGACACGGCCCAGACUCCUACGGGAGGCAGCAGUGGGGAAUAUUGGACAAUGGGGGGAACCCUGAUCCAGCCAUGCCGCGUGUGUGAAGAAGGCCUUAUGGUUGUAAAGCACUUUAAGCGAGGAGGAGGCUCUUUUGGUUAAUACCCAAGAUGAGUGGACGUUACUCGCAGAAUAAGCACCGGCUAACUCUGUGCCAGCCGCCGCCGUAA